CUUCCUCUGAUUGUCCAAUCAGCAGCUUCCUUUGAUUAUCCAAUCAGCAGCUUCCUCUUCUCUGUGGCUGCAGGGGCUGAUGGGAGCUCUGGUUCCUCUGCUAGAAACCACGUGGCCCUGGUCUGAUCUCUCAGCUCGUCCUUGUUUGGCCUCAGCUGCAUCAGAGCUCCACUUCUCCCCAGGUUCACCAGAGGAAACUCCACUGCACACAAUGCUUUUCCUCCCAGCUGCUGCUCUGUGCUGGCUGGGUUCAGCACUGGCUGCCAUGGCAACACAGCUGGUUCAGGAUGAUUUAAGUCUGACCAGGAGAAAAGGGGAGAGCGUCUCCAUCAGCUGUGGAGGAACUGAUCAGUGUGGUGGAAAUGCUGUAGUCUGGUACCAGAAGAAAGACCCAGAAACUUUCAGAGCUAUUCUCUAUAUCACCAGUGCUGGUAGAACAGAAAAGCCUUUCAGUCAUCCUCAGCAAGAUGAUUUCUCCGCUGAAAAUAUUCAGAAUGGCUGUUUGUUGAAGAUUAAUGCAGUGAAGCUCACUCACUCAGCCUCCUACUACUGCGGCUGUAGGAAGUCUGGUUCCCACAGUGAGAAAUGAUUCUUUCAGCCUGAACAAAAACCUCCACAUGAUCAGAGAUUAUGACAAGUCAACUCAAGGCAACGUAAUUGAUGCAGCACCUUUCAACACUAAGACACUUCCAGGUGUAAUGCUCAUUGAUGUGAGACUUGCAGUUUUCUGGGAAAUCACCUCAAAGCAUCGAGUCGUCACAGAACUGGGUUUAUGAACAGAAAGCAGCUUUAUAACAUCUUAUCUCCUGAACGAUGCGACACAAAGACACAAACUUUGACAUGAAUUUCCUGAAGCUCAAACUUAAUUCUUUUCUUUCAGUUUUGUUAAUUUUGUCAUAAAUCUUGACUAAGAGUUGCAAACAGGCAUAUUUUACAUCAUCACAGCUCACAGACAGAAAAAGGAACAUGCAUGAAACGAGGCAUGAUUGUUUUCUGGUCCUUCCUGAUGUCUGUGGUGAAGGAAUCACAUCGAUAGUUUUUAUAUUUCCUGAGAUAGAGGAAACAGUUUGGAACCUAGUGAAGAUGGUAUUCAGUGUUCUUUUAUCAAUUUUGACAAAACAUUUUGCGUUUAAUAUUAUAUUUUGAGAAAACUGAGUAGGACAGAAGUGUUCCUGUAUUCGUUCUGAUAGAAACGGUGUGAAUGGCGUCUGUAGCCUUUACGGUUCCUGAGAUGUUUGCUGUGGUUCCAGAGCUGCGUUUCCCUUCAUUGAGGUUCUGGUUCUGCUGAUCGUGUCCAGCAGCUGGUCGCUGAUUGAACAGCGCCUCAGAGCUCCCUCUGGUGGUAGAAUACAGAAUGACCACAUAGCAGCUCUUCUACUUCAGAUGUUUCUUGCUUAUUGUUACAUAUUUGUCAGUGAGGUCCUGUGUCACUGUGUCUGGCUCUCAGUUACUUUGACACGAACAAAACAUAGAAAGGUGAGUUAAUGUAGAGCCCUCCCAUCUCUUGUGUGAGCUCCCUCUUGUGACAGAAUUGAGAAUUACAAUCACGAGUUGGAGAGUUUCAUGCUUCAGCCGUAAAGCUGGUCAAUGUUCAGUGAUUAAACAGAGCAGCUUUAAACAGCGCUGCGUACAGCUCCCUCUGGUGGCAGAUUGCAGAAUCAGAAUAAUUUAUUGUCAUUGUCACAAAGACAAUGAAAUUGCAGUUUCAGUUACAACCAUCCAUCAUAUAACAACACGAGGGGGUGGGGGGACGGGACGGGGGGAUAGUUGGCUGAGUCCUCGCAGCCUGACAGGCACCGCCCUGCAGGAGGAAAUAGAAAAAAAAAUAAGAGAAGCAUCAGGUAAGGAGAGGAAAAACCAACCUGCCUCACACUCUGCUCUUUGCAGGGCAGCUUGAGAUGAAAAAAAAAAAACCUCGGCACUUAAA